rnacentral:rRNA from 1 species
CAAAUCAGGUAGGAUUACCCGCUGAACUUAAGCAUAUCAAUAAGCGGAGGAAAAGAAACUAACAAGGAUUCCCCUAGUAACUGCGAGUGAAGCGGGAAAAGCUCAAAUUUAAAAUCUGGCGGUCUUUGGCCGUCCGAGUUGUAGUCUGGAGAAGUGCUUUCCGCGCUGGACCGUGUACAAGUCUCUUGGAACAGAGCGUCAUAGAGGGUGAGAAUCCCGUCUUUGACACGGACUACCAGUGCUUUGUGAUGUGCUCUCAAAGAGUCGAGUUGUUUGGGAAUGCAGCUCAAAAUGGGUGGUAAAUUCCAUCUAAAGCUAAAUAUUGGCGAGAGACCGAUAGCGAACAAGUACCGUGAGGGAAAGAUGAAAAGCACUUUGGAAAGAGAGUUAAACAGUACGUGAAAUUGCUGAAAGGGAAACGCUUGAAGUCAGUCGCGUUGGCCAGGACUCAGCCUUGCUUUUGCUUGGUGCAUUUUCUGGUUGACGGGCCAGCAUCGAUUUUGACCGCUGGAAAAAGGUUAGGGGAAUGUGGCACCUUCGGGUGUGUUAUAGCCCUUAGUCGCAUACAGUGGUUGGGAUCGAGGACCGCAGCACGCCUUUAUGGCCGGGGUUCGCCCACGUUCGUGCUUAGGAUGCUGGCGUAAUGGCUUUAAACGACCCGUCUUGAAACACGGACCAAGGAGUCUAACAUGCCUGCGAGUGUUUGGGUGGAAAACCCGAGCGCGUAAUGAAAGUGAAAGUUGAGAUCCCUGUCGUGGGGAGCAUCGACGCCCGGACCUGAACUUCGGUGAUGGAUCUGCGGUAGAGCAUGUAUGUUGGGACCCGAAAGAUGGUGAACUAUGCCUGAAUAGGGUGAAGCCAGAGGAAACUCUGGUGGAGGCUCGUAGCGAUUCUGACGUGCAAAUCGAUCGUCAAAUUUGGGUAUAGGGGCGAAAGACUAAUCGAACCAUCUAGUAGCUGGUUCCUGCCGA